GACGAACGCUGGCGGCGUGCCUAACACAUGCAAGUCGAACGGAAAGGCCCUGCUUUUGCGGGUUGCUCGAUUGGCGAACGGGUGAGUAACACGCGAGUAACCCGCCCUUGUCUUUGGGAUAACUCCUGGAAACUCGGGCUAUUACCGGAUAGGAUCUCCUGCUGCACGGUGGGGGUUGGAAAGUUUCGGCGGUUGGGUCUCGUCUCGCGGCUUAUCAGCUGGUUGGUGGAGUAGUGGCUUGCCAAGGUUUUGACGGGUAGCAGGCCUGAGAGGGUGACCGGCGACAUUGGGACUGAGAUACGGCCGAGGCACCGACGGGAGGGAGCAGUGGGGAAUAUUGCACGAUGGGCGGAAGGCUGGUGCAGCAACGCCGCGUGCGGGAUGACGGCGUUCGGGGUGUAAACCGCAUGCGCCUGUGACGAAGCGUGAGUGACGGUAAUGGGUACAGAAGCACCGGCUAACUUCGUG
rnacentral:rRNA from 1 species